rnacentral:tRNA from 1 species
GGGGUUGUGACUCAGUGGUAGAGCUCUCGCCUAGCACGUGCAAAGCCCUGGGUUUGAUCCUCAGCACCCCA